CCUACCUUUAACAGGGGGAUAGCCCCGAGAAAUCGGGAUUAAUACCCCAUAAUAAUAAGAUAUGGCAUCAUAUUUUAUUUAAAGCUCCGGCGGUUAAAGAUGGGCAUGCGUGACAUUAGUUUGUUGGUGAGGUAACGGCUCACCAAGACUUCGAUGUCUAGGGGUUCUGAGAGGAUGAUCCCCCACACUGGUACUGAGACACGGACCAGACUCCUACGGGAGGCAGCAGUAAGGAAUAUUGCGCAAUGGAGGCAACUCUGACGCAGCCAUGCCGCGUGAAGGAAGAAGGCUUUAUGAGUCGUAAACUUCUUUUAUAUAGGAAUAAACCCACCCUCGUGAGGGUGGCUGAAGGUACUAUACGAAUAAGCACCGGCUAACUCCGUGCCAGCAGCCGCGGUAAUACGGAGGGUGCAAGCGUUAUCCGGAUUUAUUGGGUUUAAAGGGUGCGCAGGCGGACCUGUCAGUCAGUGGUGAAAUCCCGGGGCUCAACCCCGGAACUGCCAUUGAUACUACAGGUCUUGAAUACGGUUGAAGUAGGCGGAAUGUAGCAUGUAGCGGUGAAAUGCAUAGAUAUGCUACAGAACACCGAUCGCGAAGGCAGCUUACUAAGCCGAUAUUGACGCUCAGGCACGAAAGCGUGGGGAGCGANCAGGAUAAGAUACCCUGGUAGUCACGCCGUAAACGAUGAUCACUCGU
rnacentral:rRNA from 1 species